UGCAGUCGAGCGAGCUGAAUUCAAAGAUNCCUUCGGGNUGAUUUGUUGGACGCUAGCGGCGGAUGGGUGAGUAACACGUGGGCAAUCUGCCCUAAAGACUGGGAUACCACUUGGAAACAGGUGCUAAUACCGGAUAACAACAUGAAUCGCAUGAUUCAAGUUUGAAAGGCGGCGUAAGCUGUCACUUUAGGAUGAGCCCGCGGCGCAUUAGCUAGUUGGUGGGGUAAAGGCCUACCAAGGCAAUGAUGCGUAGCCGAGUUGAGAGACUGAUCGGCCACAUUGGGACUGAGACACGGCCCAAACUCCUACGGGAGGCAGCAGUAGGGAAUCUUCCACAAUGGACGCAAGUCUGAUGGAGCAACGCCGCGUGAGUGAAGAAGGUUUUCGGAUCGUAAAGCUCUGUUGUUGGUGAAGAAGGAUAGAGGCAGUAACUGGUCUUUAUUUGACGGUAAUCAACCAGAAAGUCACGGCUAACUACGUGCCAGCAGCCGCGGUAAUAGAUCGGAAGAGCACACGUCUGAACCUCCA
rnacentral:rRNA from 1 species